UAUUGCACAAUGGGGGAAACCCUGAUGCAGCAACGCCGCGUGAAGGAAGAAGGCUUUCGGGUUGUAAACUUCUUUUCUCGGGGACGAAACAAAUGACGGUACCUGACUAAGAAGCACCGGCUAAAUACGUGCCAGCAGCCGCGGUAAUACGUAUGGUGCAAGCGUUAUCCGGAUUUACUGGGUGUAAAGGGAGCGUAGACGGAGCAGCAAGUCUGGAGUGAAAACCCGGGGCUCAACCCCGGGACUGCUUUGGAAACUGUUGUUCUAGAGUGCUGGAGAGGUAAGUGGAAUUCCUAGUGUAGCGGUGAAAUGCGUAGAUAUUAGGAGGAACACCAGUGGCGAAGGCGGCUUACUGGACAGUAACUGACGUUGAGGCUCGAAAGCGUGGGUAGCAA
rnacentral:rRNA from 1 species